rnacentral:rRNA from 1 species
UACGUAGGUGGCAAGCGUUGUCCGGAUUUACUGGGCGUAAAGAGCGCGCAGGCGGUCUUGUAAGUCGAAUGUGAAAGCCCCUGGCUCAACCGGGGAGGGUCAUUCGAUACUGCUCGACUCGAAGGCAGGAGAGGGAAGCGGAAUUCCCGGUGUAGUGGUGAAAUGCGUAGAUAUCGGGAGGAACACCAGUGGCGAAGGCGGCUAUCUGGACGGUUUCUGACACUAAGACUCGAAAGCGUGGGGAGCAAACAGG